rnacentral:rRNA from 1 species
UACCAGCACCCCGAGUGGUCGGGACGUUUAUUGGGCCUAAAGCAUCCGUAGCCGGUUCUACGAGUCUUCCGUUAAAUCCAACUGCUUAACAGGUGGGCUGCGGAAGAUACUAUAGAGCUAGGAGGCGGGAGAGGCAAGCGGUACUCGAUGGGUAGGGGUAAAAUCCGUUGAUCCAUUGAAGACCACCAGUGGCGAAGGCGGCUUGCCAGAACGCGCUCGACGGUGAGGGAUGAAAGCUGGG